UACGUAGGGUGCAAGCGUUAAUCGGAAUUACUGGGCGUAAAGCGUGCGCAGGCGGUUUUGUAAGUCAGAUGUGAAAUCCCCGGGCUUAACCUGGGAACUGCGUUUGAAACUACAAGGCUAGAGUGUGGCAGAGGGGGGUGGAAUUCCACGUGUAGCAGUGAAAUGCGUAGAGAUGUGGAGGAACACCGAUGGCGAAAGGCAGCCCCCCUGGGUUAACACUGACGCUCAGGCACGAAAGCGUGGGGAGCAAACAGG
rnacentral:rRNA from 1 species